ensembl:ncRNA H22K11.8 ncRNA
GACGGAAAAGGGAAGCGAAACACCUUUUUCUUCGCUCUCUUUUUGUUUCAACCCCACCGACGCCGAUCAAGCGCAAUAUUUCUUUUUCUGAUAGGCGAAGGUGUCGAUUUGAUUGAUAAACUGGGCAA